CACGUAGGGGGCGAGCGUUGUCCGGAUUUAUUGGGCGUAAAGAGCUCGUAGGCGGCUCGGUAAGUCGGGUGUGAAAACUCGGGGCUCAACCCCGAGACGCCACUCGAUACUGCUGUGGCUUGAGUCCGGUAGGGGAGCGUGGAAUUCCUGGUGUAGCGGUGAAAUGCGUAGAUAUCGGGAGGAACACCAGUGGCGAAGGCGGUUCUCUGGGCAUGUCCUGACGCUGAGGAGCGAAAGUGUGGGGAGCGAACAGG
rnacentral:rRNA from 1 species